rnacentral:rRNA from 1 species
AGAGUUUGAUCCUGGCUCAGGAUGAACGCUAGCGGCAGGCUUAACACAUGCAAGUCGAGGGGUAUAGUAGCAAUACUAGAGACCGGCGCACGGGUGCGUAACGCGUAUGCAAUCUACCUUUCACAGAGGGAUAGCCCAGAGAAAUUUGGAUUAAUACCUCAUAGUAUAACACGGCCGCAUGGUUGAGUUAUUAAAGAUUUAUCGGUGAAAGAUGAGCAUGCGUCCCAUUAGUUAGUUGGUAAGGUAACGGCUUACCAAGACAGCGAUGGGUAGGGGUCCUGAGAGGGAGAUCCCCCACACUGGUACUGAGACACGGACCAGACUCCUACGGGAGGCAGCAGUGAGGAAUAUUGGACAAUGGGCGCAAGCCUGAUCCAGCCAUGCCGCGUGCAGGAUGACGGUCCUAUGGAUUGUAAACUGCUUUUGCACAGGAAGAAACAACAUUACGUGUAAUGUCUUGACGGUACUGUGAGAAUGAGGAUCGGCUAACUCCGUGCCAGCAGCCGCGGUAAUAC